rnacentral:rRNA from 1 species
GACGAACGCUGGCGGCGUGCUUAACACAUGCAAGUCGAACGGAAAGGCCCUGCUUUUGUGGGGUGCUCGAGUGGCGAACGGGUGAGUAACACGUGAGUAACCUGCCCUUGACUUUGGGAUAACUUCAGGAAACUGGGGCUAAUACCGGAUAGGAGCUCCUGCUGCAUGGUGAGGGUUGGAAAGUUUCGGCGGUUGGGGAUGGACUCGCGGCUUAUCAGCUUGUUGGUGGGGUAGUGGCUUACCAAGGCUUUGACGGGUAGCCGGCCUGAGAGGGUGACCGGCCACAUUGGGACUGAGAUACGGCCCAGACUCCUACGGGAGGCAGCAGUGGGGAAUAUUGCACAAUGGGCGGAAGCCUGAUGCAGCAACGCCGCGUGCGGGAUGACGGCCUUCGGGUUGUAAACCGCUUUCGCCUGUGACGAAGCGUGAGUGACGGUAAUGGGUAAAGAAGCACCGGCUAACUACGUG